ACAAAUUAAAAUGUUAAAAAUUACAACUACCUGUGGCAGAUGUUGAGGGGAUGUAUUUCUGCCAAGUGCUGUGAAUGUCAAAGUGAAGAAAUUCAGUGAAGCAUGAGUGAUCAAUGUGAAUAACUAUGACUCUGGUAAGGUGGCCAAAUGCCUCAUCAAAUCAGUGGUGCACAUGAAUGUGUGAA
rnacentral:ncRNA from 1 species